rnacentral:rRNA from 1 species
GAUUUCUGACGUGACACGCCCGACCCUCCACGUUUACGUGUGUGCGUGUUGAGUGCGUGUCUGUCAUAUUUCUAGAAAACGUUUAUACCCUUCACUGGGUGGUGAACGCGAUCUAGAUCAUUUACUUUGAAAAAAUUAGAGUGUUCAAAGCAGGCUUGCGCUAUGAAUACAUUAGCAUGGAAUAAUAAUUUAGGACUUCGGUUCUAUUUUGUUGGUUUCUAGGACUGAAGUAAUGAUUGAUAGGGAUAGUUGGGGGUGCUAGUAUUCAGCGGCCAGAGGUGAAAUUCUUGGAUUCGCUGAAGACUAACUUAUGCGAAAGCAUU